rnacentral:tRNA from 1 species
UCUUCGGUGCAACAGUGGUAUGGUGGUUUGCAUUUCAACAGACAAAUACUCACUGCAGAGUCUGACCCAGGUUCAAUUCCUGGUGUGGAU